rnacentral:rRNA from 1 species
UAAAGAAUUUCGGUAUGGGAUGGGGAUGCGUUCCAUUAGUUAGUUGGCGGGGUAACGGCCCACCAAGACAACGAUGGAUAGGGGUUCUGAGAGGAAGGUCCCCCACAUUGGAACUGAGACACGGUCCAAACUCCUACGGGAGGCAGCAGUGAGGAAUAUUGGUCAAUGGACGAGAGUCUGAACCAGCCAAGUAGCGUGAAGGAUGACUGCCCUAUGGGUUGUAAACUUCUUUUAUAUGGGAAUAAAAUGUUCCACGUGUGGGAUUUUGUAUGUACCAUAUGAAUAAGGAUCGGCUAACUCCGUGCCAGCAGCCGCGGUAAUACGGAGGAUCCGAGCGUUAUCCGGAUUUAUUGGGUUUAAAGGGAGCGUAGGUGGAUUGUUAAGUCAGUUGUGAAAGUUUGCGGCUCAACCGUAAAAUUGCAGUUGAAACUGGCAGUCUUGAGUACAGUAGAGGUGGGCGGAAUUCGUGGUGUAGCGGUGAAAUGCUUAGAUAUCACGAAGAACUCCGAUUGCGAAGGCAGCUCACUGGACUGCAACUGACACUGAGGCUCGAAAGUGUGGGUAUCAAACAGGAUUAGAUACCCUGGUAGUCCACACAGUAAACGAUGAAUACUCGCUGUUUGCGAUAUAGGCAA